rnacentral:rRNA from 1 species
UACGUAGGGGGCAAGCGUUGUCCGGAAUCAUUGGGCGUAAAGAGCGUGUAGGCGGCCCGGUAAGUCCGCUGUGAAAGUCCAGGGCUCAACCCUGGGAUGCCGGUGGAUACUGUCGGGCUCGAGUCCGGAAGAGGAGUGUGGAAUUCCUGGUGUAGCGGUGAAAUGCGUAGAUAUCAGGAGGAACACCGGUGGCGAAGGCGGGUCUCUGGGCAACAACUGACGCUGAGGAGCGAAAGCGUGGGGAGCGAACAGG